rnacentral:rRNA from 1 species
UAAGUCGUAACAAGGUUUCCGUAGGUGAACCUGCGGAAGGAUCAUUAUUGAAUGAAUGUAGAGUUGGUUGUUGCUGGCCCUCUCCAGUUGGGGGGCAUGUGCACGCCUUCUCUUUCAUCCACCCCACACCUGUGCACUCGUGAGAUGGAAAGGCCCCCCUCGGGCGUCCAUCUGCUCUACAUAAACUCAUAUCUAUAUGUAUAGAAUGAAUGUAAUUGAUGCAACGCAUCUUUAAACUAAGUUUCAACAACGGAUCUCUUGGCUCUCGCAUCGAUGAAGAACGCAGCGAAAUGCGAUAAGUAAUGUGAAUUGCAGAAUUCAGUGAAUCAUCGAAUCUUUGAACGCACCUUGCGCUCCUUGGUAUUCCUUGGAGCAUGCCUGUUUGAGUAUCGUGAAAUCCUCAAGAUAGAUCUUUUGUUCAUUCGAUUGAUUUUAUUUUGGACUUGGAGGUCUUGCAGAUUCUCACAUCUGCUCCUCUCAAAUGCAUUAGCUGGAUCUCCGUGAGCUCGGUUCCACUCGGUGUGAUAAGUAAUCACUCGCCGAGGACACUGUCAAAAGUGGCUGGGUUCACAGAUGAACCGCUUCCAAUCGUCCAUUAGCUUAGACAAAUUGAACCUCUAUGAUCUGAUCUCAAAUCAGGUAGGAAUACCCGCUGACUUA